AGAGCGAACGCUGGCGGCAGGCUUAACACAUGCAAGUCGAACGCGUGUAGCAAUACACGAGUGGCGCACGGGUGAGUAACGCGUGGGCAUCUGCCUCAUGGUUCGGAAUAACCCCGGGAAACUGGGGCUAAUACCGGAUGGUACCUUCGGGUUAAAGAUUUAUCGCCAUGAGAUGAGCCCGCGUCCGAUUAGCUAGUUGGUGAGGUAACGGCUCACCAAGGCGACGAUCGGUAGCUGGUCUGAGAGGACGAUCAGCCACACUGGGACUGAGACACGGCCCAGACUCCUACGGGAGGCAGCAGUGGGGAAUAUUGGACAAUGGGGGCAACCCUGAUCCAGCCAUGCCGCGUGAGUGAUGAAGGCCUUCGGGUUGUAAAGCUCUUUUAGCGGGUACGAUGAUGACGGUACCCGCAGAAUAAGCCCGGCUAACUUCGUGCCAGCAGCCGC
rnacentral:rRNA from 1 species